rnacentral:rRNA from 1 species
AACGCGAAGAACCUUACCAGGGCUUGACAUCUCCUGAAAAGCAUGGAAACAUGUAAUGUGUCCCUUCGGGGAUAACAGGAAGACAGGUGGUGCAUGGUUGUCGUCAGCUCGUGUCGUGAGAUGUUGGGUUAAGUCCCGCAACGAGCGCAACCCCUACAUUUAGUUGCCAUCAUUCAGUUGGGCACUCUAAAGGAACUGCCGGUGACAAACCGGAGGAAGGUGGGGAUGACGUCAAAUCAUCAUGCCCCUUAUGUCCUGGGCUACACACGUGCUACAAUGGACGGUACAAAGGGUCGCGAAACCGUGAGGUGAAGCCAAUCCCAUAAAGCCGUUCUCAGUUCGGAUUGUAGUCUGCAACUCGACUACAUGAAGUCGGAAUCGCUAGUAAUCGCGAGUCAGCAUAUCGCGGUGAAUACGUUCCCGGGUCUUGUACACACCG